AGGUGAGUGGGGGAGCCAUAAUCCGAGAGCUGCCAUGAUACCAGCAGGCUGGUAGACAGAGCUGUGGGUUGAGUCCAGGAUUUUCAUGACUUCUCAGAAUCCUGCCACUGUUUAAAAAUGAAAUUGUGUUUUGCAAGUUAUGAUUGACUGUCUACAAUACCAUGUUUUAAGGAAGCUGACAUCACUACUGCACUGCUGGACAAGAGAUGAGCCUCAACAUGUUUUCUGAUCACAGUGGAGGAGGAAAAACACAGACUGACUGAAGAACAACCAAUGACGGUCACAACGAAAAGAACAAGCUCAGCACGACAUCAGCACGACGCAUUCUGUUUUACAU